UACGUAGGGACCGAGCGUUGUCCGGAUUCAUUGGGCGUAAAGAGCUCGUAGGCGGCCACUCAAGUCGAAUGUGAAACCUCGAGGCUUAACCUCGAGCCUGCAUUCGAUACUGGGCGGCUAGAGUCUGGUAGGGGGAUCUGGAAUUCCUGGUGUAGCGGUGGAAUGCGCAGAUAUCAGGAGGAACACCAGUGGCGAAGGCGGCUGCCUGGGCCUGGCCUGACGCUGAGGCGCGAAAGCGUGGGGAGCGAUCCGG
rnacentral:rRNA from 1 species